rnacentral:rRNA from 1 species
GACGAACGCUGGCGGCGUGCCUAAUACAUGCAAGUUGAGCGAUGAAGCUUGGUGCUUGCCCCAAUUUGAAGAGCAGCGAACGGGUGAGUAACGCGUGGGGAAUCUGCCUUUGAGCGGGGGACAACAUUUGGAAACGAAUGCUAAUACCGCAUAACAACUUUAAACAUAAGUUUUAAGUUUGAAAGAUGCAAUUGCAUCACUCAAAGAUGAUCCCGCGUUGUAUUAGCUAGUUGGUGAGGUAAAGGCUCACCAAGGCGAUGAUACAUAGCCGACCUGAGAGGGUGAUCGGCCACAUUGGGACUGAGACACGGCCCAAACUCCUACGGGAGGCAGCAGUAGGGAAUCUUCGGCAAUGGACGAAAGUCUGACCGAGCAACGCCGCGUGAGUGAAGAAGGGUUUCGGAUCGUAAAGCUCUGUUGGUAGAGAAGAACGUUGGUGAGAGUGGAAAGCUCAUCAAGUGACGGUAACUACCCAGAAAGGGACGGCUAACUACGUG